UCAUUUCCCCGCUUGGUAUUUUUACCCUCUUUGUCUGAAACUAUCGAACCCUAAUAACUCUCACUUUGUCUGAAAAAUCUCGAACCUUGUCAACCUCGUUCUCUCUCGAACCUGACCUGCCCCGAUUCCCCGACCUCGUUCUCCAACCUGGCCUGAGCUCGUUGUCCGAUCCGAGCUUCUCGAGCUCCUUCUCCGACCCGAGCCGCUCGAGCUCCUUCUCCGACUCGAGCUACCUCGAGCAUGUUCUCCGAUCUGACCUCGUGCUCCUUCUCCGACCUUACCUCGAGCUCAUUCUCCGACAUGAGCUCGUCAAUCUCCGACCUGAGCCGGCUCGAGCUCGUUCUCCGACCGCCACCAACGUCAAUAUCAGAAGCGUUGAUGAAGCAAUAGUGAUUGGUGCUGCUCUAUCUUUAUCUUCCUCAGCUUUUGUACUGUAGGUGUUUGAAAUUUUAAAUAAGAAAAGGCAUAUACUAAUUUUUCAUUCAAGAAGUAUUGUUGAAUAGCUGCUAUUAUUUCUACAGAUACAGUGAUAGAGUAACAUUGUGAAUUUAUUGAAGGAAAGCUUUAUUGUGAAUUUAUUGAAGGCAAGCUUUGUGAAUUUAUCCACAGCGACCUAGGCUUUUCGUAAAUUUAUUGGGCAGCCGGUUUCAAUGUUCUGCUCAAGUCGAACUGUGGUGUCGUUUGUGUGUACUGGUCUUAUAAAUACUGUUUCUAAAGCUUGCCCAGAAGAAAUGGUCAUCAUAUCUUUGCGACCUCUUAUAGACGGAAAUUUAGUUUCUGGAACCAUAUUUUGAAUGUUAUGGAUGCAGGAGUCCAUGCCUUAUCCAAUGUUAGUCAUGUAGAUACUGAACGCAUAAGCAAAAGAAAGCCUGGUGAAGUGUUACCACCUCAUGAACCUACAGUGGUCCAAAAAGCUGUAAACCAUUUCUUACAGAAGAAUGAAGGUGAUGUAAUGGUGGUGGAUGUACGAAAAGUUCCAGCUGAUUUUCAUGCUAGAUUUAAAGCCCAAGAACGCACAACAUAGCGGAGGACAGUAUAUGGCCAAUGCUUUAGAAGGAGGGUUUAAAAGCUCUAGGUGGGCUGGGGCUUCUUUCUCUUGGAGGAAAAUUAGUUCUUAGGCGAAUUUUUGAGUUUGUGGCAGAAGCAAGGAGCUCAGAGGCAUUUGUUGCCCUUUGCUUGCUGACGGUGGCGGGGACUUCACUUCUCACCCAGAAGUUGGGGUUCAGUGAUACGGUUUAUACGCAGAUACUGUAAGGUGUUAUGUGGUGCAGUAUUUUUUUGUUACAACAUUAUUUGAUGUUUCAAUUUCAGGCACAUUGUUCAGAAACAAGUUUUUGAAAUUGAUUGUUGCAUGUUUUCGAGUUCUCUGUUUUCAUUAUUUCAUUGACAGAAUUGUUUAUUUGUAAACGAGGAGGGGAGUUUGGCUUUGUAGUUUUUUCUCUGGCAAACAUGUGGGUCCUACUCAUAACUCAUUUUUUUUACACCAAAUGCAAAAGUCUGUUGUGACCAAGUAUUUGUGGUUUUUUAUUUGUCGUAUUAAUAUGCAAAUUUGUCGAAAACAGGCUUGGUGUGCUACCACUUGAGCUUAACAAGUUGCUCAUAAUUGUUGUUGUCCUGUCAUGGCAUUAACCCCAUUGCUUAACGAAGCUGGAAGAAGAGCUGCUGCAUUUAUUGAUGACAAUUUUGAAGCAGAGGAUGAAGCUCCUGAUGUGGUGAAUUUCAAUUCAAGUGACACUCUAUAUGCAUGGAAUGCAUGGCGUCAAGUGCAUUGGUAUGAGGUGCGCGUUGAAGUGGCCGACUACUUACAGACUUUGCUGUAGAUUCUGACUAGUUUCUUGAUUUUGAGUAAGGCUAGCUAGCUUUUGUUUAAACCUUUUUGUAGUAGAUGAAGUGAAUGUAGCAAUUAUGAACAAAAUGCAAUAGUAAUUGGUAGGCUAGCCUUGUAGUAGGUGAAUUGGGGUUUUAUUUUGCCCAUUUUGUAAAUUGUUAAGGAUGAUGAUUUUAGAUAAAAUACCCCAAUAUUUAAAUCA